AUGGACGAAAGUCUGAUGGAGCAACGCCGCGUGAGUGAAGAAGGGUUUCGGCUCGUAAAACUCUGUUGUUAAAGAAGAACAUAUCUGAGAGUAACUGUUCAGGUAUUGACGGUAUUUAACCAGAAAGCCACGGCUAACUACGUGCCAGCAGCCGCGGUAAUACGUAGGUGGCAAGCGUUGUCCGGAUUUAUUGGGCGUAAAGCGAGCGCAGGCGGUUUUUUAAGUCUGAUGUGAAAGCCUUCGGCUCAACCGAAGAAGUGCAUCGGAAACUGGGGAACUUGAGUGCAGAAGAGGACAGUGGAACUCCAUGUGUAGCGGUGAAAUGCGUAGAUAUAUGGAAGAACACCAGUGGCGAAGGCGGCUGUCUGGUCUGUAACUGACGCUGAGGCUCGAAAGUAUGGGUAGCAAACAGGAUUAGAUACCCUGGUAGUCCAUACCGUAAACGAUGAAUGCUAAGUGUUGGAGGGUUUCCGCCCUUCAGUGCUGCAGCUAACGCAUUAAGCAUUCCGCCUGGGGAGUACGGCCGCAAGGCUGAAACUCAAAGGAAUUGACGGGGGCCCGCACAAGCGGUGGAGCAUGUGGUUUAAUUCGAAGCUACGCGAAGAACCUUACCAGGUCU
rnacentral:rRNA from 2 species